CACACUGUAAACGAUGAAUGCUAGGUGUAGGAGGUAUCGACCCCUUCUGUGCCGCAGUCAACACAGUAAGCAUUCCGCCUGGGGAGUACGGUCGCAAGAUUAAAACUCAAAGGAAUUGAC
rnacentral:rRNA from 1 species